rnacentral:rRNA from 1 species
UACGAAGGGGGCUAGCGUUGCUCGGAAUGACUGGGCGUAAAGGGCGCGUAGGCGGCCCUCUAAGUCAGACGUGAAAUCCCACGGCUCAACCGUGGAACUGCGUCUGAUACUGGAGGGCUUGAAUCCGGGAGAGGGAUGUGGAAUUCCAGGUGUAGCGGUGAAAUGCGUAGAUAUCUGGAGGAACACCGGUGGCGAAGGCGGCAUCCUGGACCGGUAUUGACGCUGAGGCGCGAAAGCUAGGGGAGCAAACGGG